GAAAAAUACUCUGGAUUUUCAGGGUCCCCACACCUUAAAUCUGACAUGUAAUCUUCAGCAGCAUUUUCCAAUUCCUCAUGACUGCAAUUAUUCAGUAAAUCCACAGGGAAUGCCAUCCUCUCCACUCUGAGCUGAGGUUGAGUAUGACCAAAAUGAAGUAACUGAACAGACUGCUACAACUAUCCAAAUUUCAGGAAGGUCUCAACCUCGUUCAGCAAUCUCUUUCUGCUCUCUCUGACGCGUCCUGCGAGCCGCCGGUGCCCGAGCAAGGAGGCGGAGCCGCGCGAAUGAAUGGAGCCUGCGGCUGCUCGCUGGCGACCCCCGGCCGAUUCCCGGCCGCGCUGCCCGGGCGGGUACGGCGCCUUCUGCCCCUAGCCCGCGACGCCGGGCUCCUCGUCGCGGGUCGGCCGCAGCCCACCGUGCCCUCCGCCGGCGUGACGCACUCGCGCCGCAGCGCCUCCAGCCCUCGCAGCCGCGCCCACCCCAUAUAAAUACCUUAUCAUUUAAAUUUUUACCUGUUCCCAAUGGUUUAAAGCUCCUACAUUUAUACGUAGUUCCAUAGCCAAACAAAUAUCUUGUUCAACCUAGUACUCUAACGUUCUAAGAAGACACAUGUUUUGGAAAAUAUAUUCAGAGGGAGCAUCCAGCCUUCUGAUUUUCUUCAGUCUGUUCUGACCAACACUCAGAUGAGAAGGAAUGUAGACCUCUCUGAGAUCAUCUGAGGCUGCUGGGAACGGGAAUGAGUGAAAAGCAUCAUGACCUCCACUUGGGAAGGGGCAAUAAAGUCAGCUUCAGAAACUAGCAUGCCUCCACAGAACUGCUCUGGCUUCUGAGAGAGCCCAAGCUCUGAGAUACUUUCUGCACCCACCACCAACCCAUCUGCUCCUACUUGUCUUGCGGCUGACACCCAGAGUCCUUUUCUUCUUGAAUUGCCAAGACUACUAAGGUUCUGCUUAGCCACGUGUAAACAGAAAUUGGUCUAGAAUUUUACCUUCCCUUUUUCAAGUAUAAUUUCUUUCCAGUCUUUUUACCUUAGCCUUUCUUUUAAGGUAGUCAUUGUUUCCGUCUCACUAGGUAUAUUGUAAUCAAUAAUAAAAUCCACUGCAUAAUUUCAACUAUCAAUUCUACUGCUGUAAGCAUUUAAAUAUGAGAUUUGUCCCUUUGCUUUAAUGAUGUCCUCUUUCUCUAAAACAGAUUUUCCUUAAGAAAGGUAGUUACAGCUUUCUUAAUAAAGCCAUUACAUAAAAGGACAGUGUCUCAAUUUGUGCUUACAGGUCUUCCACAAUAUAAAGAGAAGCGGAAAAGAAAUAAAGGCAAGUUGACCACAACUCCCCCAAGGUGCAACUAUAAAAUUUCUCUGCAUGUAUUUUACUAAUAACUGGUUGGGAUGCUAUCAGGAUGAGAUGUUGAAUUAUUGAAUUGCUGUCUUCAGACUCUAAUUCAUAGCCUACAUUUCAUUGCUUGCAGAGAAGAUAAAGGAAGCAGGAGGCGCACAGUAUGGAUUGAUUUGAAGUGACCUGUAUUUAAAAGCCUUGACAUCCUUGGAAAUGGAACAGUUCUGUGCCAUCAUGCAAGGGAUGUCUCUCCCUUCCUCAUCGAAGCAGCACAAAGCCAGCACUUCUAUAGGAUCUGACUUCUCAACUCCCGUCUUCCUAUUUUCCCAACACAACAGGGCAAUAUCCAUCCAGCGCUUGCUCCAUAUGACCUGCCUGCUGUCCCUGCCUUUCCUGUCUCCUAGGCUUCUUGCUUUUGUACUCAGAUUAAAUAUGAAAGGGUUGGCACUGGAGAAACAGAAAUCCGGGCUGAAAAGGAAAACUUAAAUCUUGCAGUGCCACCAGUUGUUCACAACCAUUAUUUAUGCUUAUAAUAGGACCUGAUAGAAACACAGCUACCCUGCUUCUGAUGGACCUACUUUAAUAUUAGUUUCAACACACACAUGUGCAACACACAGGGGGAGAGAAAGAAAAAAAAAACCUACCAGUAAUAAAUAAAGCAAAACAUUUUGUUCAAUUGAAAUAUGAGCAUUGCAAUUGAUUGGGAAAAGUCAGUUUUUUAAUUCUAAGAGCACACAUAUCAAUCAUGUUUGCCAGAAGAAGAACAAUAGUUAGGAAGGAGAACAUUAAAUGCACACUUAGAUACCACUGAACAUUUCAGGUGCAGGGCUACACAAAGGAACUAAGACAAUCAAUCCCACUGACCAUGAUCACAUACCAUGUACUAGAUAAGAUGCAUGAAGUUCUAGAAAGUUUCCUACAGAUGAGACCACAUUCUCAUCCCACUGGGUUAAGGAACAUGCCUCUUAUUUCAGAAAGGAAAUAGAAUUUUUCUAAAUUUCAGUCUUGUCUUGUCAUGAACUAUAUAUUCUAACUUUAUCUGCAUUUCUCUCUUCUUCUCUCCUUCUUCAUCUCUCCAUUCAGCAGCAUUUCAAAGAGUGCUUCUUCUCCAAAAACCAGCCCACUUUAUGUGUUAGAUAUAAACUUCCUAAGUAUUUUUGCUUAUAAAUCUUUCCUCUCAUAUUUUUUUAGAUAAAAAUACUUUUUUCCCUGACCGGCUCAAGAGGCUGAGUCAGGAGGAUCACAAGUUCAGUGCUAGCCUCAGCAAAAG